GACGAACGCUGGCGGCGUGCUUAACACAUGCAAGUCGAACGGAAAGGCCCUGCUUUUGUGGGGUGCUCGAGUGGCGAACGGGUGAGUAACACGCGAGUAACCUGCCCUUGACUUUGGGAGAACUCCAGGAAACUGGGGCGAAUAUCGGAUAGGAGCUCCUGCUGCACGGGGGGGGUUGGAAAGUGUCGGCGGUUUGGGCUGGACUCGCGGGUUAUCAGCUUGUUGGUGGGGUAGUGGCGUCCCAAGGCUUUGAAGGGUAGCCGGCCUGAGAGGGUGGCCGGCCACCUUGCGCCUGCGAUACGGCCCAGUCUCCUACGGGCGGCAGUGGUCGGAAACCUUGCACAAUGGCGCCGCGCCAGUUGCGACGGCGCUCCGUUCGUAAUGCCCGCCUUCGGGUUGUAAACAGAUUUCUCAUGUGCCGAGGCCUGCGUGACGGUACUGGGUCAAGAAGCCCCGGCUAACUACGUG
rnacentral:rRNA from 1 species